AUUUCUUUUGAUUAUGGAGAAGCAAAAAUUAAGUAAUCAUUUAUACAUGUUAGUGAAAGCAUAUAAAUGAGUAAAUUAUAGUAAUACUAUUAUUAUAUCAGGAGAAAAUAUUUAAUUAAUAUAUUAACCUAAGACGUAAAGCAAAAGCCAUGUUUUUACUGAAACAAAGAAAAAUUUUACAGCAGUAAAGAAUUUUAUACAAUUAAUGAUAAUUAGAUAUAGGGAAAUCUUUUAGUUUUGUCAAAUUAUGUGCCAGCAGACGCGGUAAUACAUAUGAAACAAAUUUUUGUCAAUAAAUAGGAAAAUGUGUAAUUAAAAAAAAAUAAAAUAAGAAUUUUUAAUUUGGUAAAAUAAAUAAAAAUUUAGAAAUUAUGUUUUAUUAAAUAAUUUGAAACAUGAGAAAAAGAAAAAUAAAUAGGAUUAGAUACCCUAGUAAUCUUUUUAUAAAUUAUUUAAACCUGAACAGUACGUCUUAAGGAUAAAAAUCAAAUAAUUUGGUUGUUUAUUAUCUAAUUAGAGGAGUAUGUAAUUUAAUUCGAUAAUCCGCGAAAAACCUUACUUUUUAUUGAAUUAUCAGGUGUUGCAUGGUUGUUUUCAGCUUUAAUUUAAAAUUAUUGCUUAAUCCUUUAUAGGAUGAAUUCAAAUAUUAUGACCCUAAUUAAAAAGGGUAUUAUGUACUACAAUAAAUAUUAUAAUUUAAAUAUAUUUUUGAAUAAUUAAUGAAAUUUAAUUUAAAAGAGGAUUUAAUAGUAAUUAAAGAAAUAAUGCUUUAAUGAAUUAGUUAAAAUAUGAAUACAAAUAGCCCGUCGCCUUUUUUGAUUUAACCAAAAAAAAAGUAAGUCGUAACAUAGUGGGGGAAAGGGAACUUUUCCCUGUGGAUUAAUACCCAAUAAAAA
rnacentral:rRNA from 1 species